rnacentral:rRNA from 1 species
UACGAAGGGGGCUAGCGUUGCUCGGAAUUACUGGGCGUAAAGGGCGCGUAGGCGGGUCGUUAAGUUAGAGGUGAAAGCCCAGGGCUCAACCCUGGAAUUGCCUUUGAUACUGGCGGCCUUGAGUAUGGCAGAGGUGUGUGGAACUCCGAGUGUAGAGGUGAAAUUCGUAGAUAUUCGGAAGAACACCAGUGGCGAAGGCGACACACUGGGCCAUUACUGGCGCUGAGGCGCGAAAGCGUGGGGAGCAAACAGG